rnacentral:rRNA from 1 species
GAUCCUGGCUCAGGAUGAACGCUGGCGGCGUGCCUAACACAUGCAAGUCGAACGGACUUUUCAUGAAGCCUAGCGAUUGAAAAGUUAGUGGCGGACGGGUGAGUAACGCGUGGGUAACCUGCCUUGUACUGGGGGACAACAGUUGGAAACGACUGCUAAUACCGCAUAAACGCACAGCUUCGCAUGAAGCAGUGUGAAAAACUCCGGUGGUACAAGAUGGACCCGCGUCUGAUUAGCUGGUUGG